UACGUAGGGUGCAAGCGUUAUCCGGAUUUACUGGGUUUAAAGGGUGCGUAGGUGGGUCUGUAAGUCAGUGGUGAAAUCUUCAAGCUUAACUUGGAAACUGCCAUUGAUACUAUAGGUCUUGAAUUAUCUGGAGGUGAGCGGAAUAUGUCAUGUAGCGGUGAAAUGCUUAGAUAUGACAUAGAACACCAAUUGCGAAGGCAGCUCACUACGGAUUGAUUGACACUGAGGCGCGAAAGCGUGGGGAGCAAACAGG
rnacentral:rRNA from 1 species